CGACUAUAUCUCAUGUGUAGUAUUGAGUAUAAAAACUAGAACCGCAACUGGUUCCCAAAAGAAAAAGUAGUGUUUCCUUGUUAGAAGAUACAAAGCCAAAGACUCAUACGGACUUCGGCUACACCAUGAAAAUUUUGAGAAGCAAUAAGAAGCUUGGUUAGUGUUUUGGAGUCAAAUAUGACUAGAUGUCAUGUGUAUGAUUGAGUAUAAGAACUAGAAUGGCAACCGAUUCCCAAUAGCUAAAGUUAUGUUUCCUUGUUUGAAGAUACAAAGCCAAAGACUCAUACGGACUUCGUGUACACCAUCAAAAUUUUGAGAAGCAAUAAGAAGCUUGGUUAGUAUUUUAGAGUCAAAUAUUACAGGAUAUCAUGUGUAUAUUGAGUAUAAGAACUAGAACCGCAACCGAUUCCCAAAAGCUAAAGUAAUGUUUCUUGUUUGUAGAUACAAAGCCAAAGACUCAUACCGACUUCGGCUACACCAUCAAAGCUUUGUGAGGCAAUAAGAAGCUUGGUUAGUUUUUCGGAAUCAAAUAUGGCUAGAUGUCAUGUGUAUGAUUGAGUAUAAGAACUAGAACCGUAACUAAUUCCCAAAAGCUAAAUUAAUGUUGCCUUGUUAGAAGAUACAAAGCUAAAAACUCAUACGGACUUCGGCUAAGCCAUUAAUGUUUUGAGAAGCAAUAGGAAGCUUGGUUAUUUUUUUGGAGUCAAAUAUGACUAGAUGUCAUGUGUAUGAUUGAGUAUAAGAACUAGAACCGCAACCGAUUCCCAAAAGCUAAAGUAAUGUUUCCUUGUUUGAAGACACAAAGUCAAAGACUCAUACGGACUUCGGCUACACCAUCAAAACUUUGUGAGGCAAUAAGAAGCUUCGUUAGUUUUUUGGAGUCAAAUAUGACUAGAUGUCAUGUGUAUGAUUAAGUAUAAGAACUAGAACCAUAACUGAUUCCCAAAAGCUAAAGUAAUGUUUCCUUGUUAGAAGAUACAAAGCUAAAAACUCAUACGGACUUCGGCUAAGCCAUCAAAAUUUUGAGAAGCAAUAAGAAGCUUGGUUAGUGUUUUGGAGUCAAAUAUGACUAGAUGUCAUGUGUAUGAUUGAGUAUAAGAACUAGAACCGCAACCGUUUCCCAAAAGCUAAAGUAGUGUUUCCUUGUUAGAAGCUACAAAGCCAAAGACUCAUACGGACUUCGGCUACACCAUCAAAGUUUUGAGAAGCAAUAAGAAGCUUGGUUAGUAUUUUGGAGUCAAAUAAGACAAGAUGUUAUGUGUUUGAUUGAGUAUAAGAACUAGAACCGCAACAUCUUCCCAAAAGCUAAAGUUGUGUUUCCCUUCUAGAAGAUACAAAGCCAAAAACUCAUACGGACUUUGGCUACACCAUCAAAGCUUUAAGAAGCAACAAGAAGUUUGGUUAGUGUUUUGGAGUCAAAAAAGACUAUAUGUCAUGUGUAGUAUUGAGUAUAAAAACUAGAACCGCAACUGGUUCCCAAAAGCAAAAGUAGUGUUUCCUUGUUAGAAGAUACAAAGCCAAAGACUCAUACGGACUUCGGCUACACCAUGAAAAUUUUGAGAAGCAAUAAGAAGCUUGGUUAGUGUUUUGGAGUCAAAUAUGACUAGAUGUCAUGUGUAUGAUUGAGUAUAAGAACUAGAAUGGCAACCGAUUCCCAAUAGCUAAAGUUAUGUUUCCUUGUUAGAAGAUACAAAGCCAAAGACUCAUACGGACUUCGUGUACACCAUCAAAAUUUUGAGAAGCAAUAAGAAGCUUGGUUAGUAUUUUAGAGUCAAAUAUUACAGGAUAUCAUGUGUAUCAUUGAGUAUAAGAACUAGAACCGCAACCGAUUCCCAAAAGCUAAAGUAAUGUUUCUUGUUUGUAGAUACAAAGCCAAAGACUCAUACCGACUUCGGCUACACCAUCAAAGCUUUGUGAGGCAAUAAGAAGCUUGGUUAGUUUUUCGGAAUCAAAUAUGGCUAGAUGUCAUGUGUAUGAUUGAGUAUAAGAACUAGAACCGCAACUAAUUCCCAAAAGCUAAAUUAAUGUUUCCUUGUUAGAAGAUACAAAGCUAAAAACUCAUACGGACUUUGGCUAAGCCAUUAAUGUUUUGAGAAGCAAUAAGAAGCUUGGUUAUUUUUUUGGAGUCAAAUAUGACUAGAUGUCAUGUGUAUGAUUGAGUAUAACAACUAGAACCGCAACCUUUUCCCAAAAGCUAAAGUAGUGUUUCCUUGUUAGAAGUUACAAAGCCAAAGAAUCAUAUGGAAUUCAGCUACACCAUCAAAGCUUUGAGAAGCAAUAAGAAGCUUUGUUAGUUUUUUGGAGUCAAAUAUGACAAGAUGUUAUGUGUUUGAUUGAGUAUAAGAACUAGAACCGCAACAUCUUCCCAAAAGCUAAAGUUGUGUUUCCCUUCUAGAAGAUACAAAGCCAAAAACUCAUACGGACUUUGGCUACACCAUCAAAGCUUUAAGAAGCAACAAGAAGUUUCGUUAGUGUUUUGGAGUCAAAAAAGACUAUAUGUCAUGUGUAGUAUUGAGUAUAAAAACUAGAACCGCAACUGGUUCCCAAAAGCAAAAGUAGUGUUUCCUUGUUAGAAGAUACAAAGCCAAAGACUCAUACGGACUUCGGCUACACCAUGAAAAUUUUGAGAAGCAAUAAGAAGCUUGGUUAGUGUUUUGGAGUCAAAUAUGACUAGAUGUCAUGUGUAUGAUUGAGUAUAAGAACUAGAAUGGCAACCGAUUCCCAAUAGCUAAAGUUAUGUUUCCUUGUUUGAAGAUACAAAGCCAAAGACUCAUACGGACUUCGUGUACACCAUCAAAAUUUUGAGAAGCAAUAAGAAGCUUGGUUAGUAUUUUAGAGUCAAAUAUUACAGGAUAUCAUGUGUAUAUUGAGUAUAAGAACUAGAACCGCAACCGAUUCCCAAAAGCUAAAGUAAUGUUUCUUGUUUGUAGAUACAAAGCCAAAGACUCAUACCGACUUCGGCUACACCAUCAAAGCUUUGUGAGGCAAUAAGAAGCUUGGUUAGUUUUUCGGAAUCAAAUAUGGCUAGAUGUCAUGUGUAUGAUUGAGUAUAAGAACUAGAACCGUAACUAAUUCCCAAAAGCUAAAUUAAUGUUUCCUUGUUAGAAGAUACAAAGCUAAAAACUCAUACGGACUUCGGCUAAGCCAUUAAUGUUUUGAGAAGCAAUAGGAAGCUUGGUUAUUUUUUUGGAGUCAAAUAUGACUAGAUGUCAUGUGUAUGAUUGAGUAUAAGAACUAGAACCGCAACCGAUUCCCAAAAGCUAAAGUAAUGUUUCCUUGUUUGAAGACACAAAGUCAAAGACUCAUACGGACUUUGGCUACACCAUCAAAACUUUGUGAGGCAAUAAGAAGCUUCGUUAGUUUUUUGGAGUCAAAUAUGACUAGAUGUCAUGUGUAUGAUUAAGUAUAAGAACUAGAACCAUAACUGAUUCCCAAAAGCUAAAGUAAUGUUUCCUUGUUAGAAGAUACAAUGCUAAAAACUCAUACGGACUUCGGCUAAGCCAUCAAAAUUUUGAGAAGCAAUAAGAAGCUUGGUUAGUGUUUUGGAGUCAAAUAUGACUAGAUGUCAUGUGUAUGAUUGAGUAUAAGAACUAGAACCGCAACCGUUUCCCAAAAGCUAAAGUAGUGUUUCCUUGUUAGAAGCUACAAAGCCAAAGACUCAUACGGAUUUCGGCUACACCAUCAAAGUUUUGAGAAGCAAUAAGAAGCUUGGUUAGUAUUUUGGAGUCAAAUAAGACAAGAUGUUAUGUGUUUGAUUGAGUAUAAGAACUAUAACCGCAACAUCUUCCCAAAAGCUAAAGUUGUGUUUCCCUUCUAGAAGAUACAAAGCCAAAAAUUCAUACGGACUUUGGCUACACCAUCAAAGCUUUAAGAAGCAACAAGAAGUUUGGUUAGUGUUUUGGAGUCAAAAAAGACUAUAUGUCAUGUGUAGUAUUGAGUAUAAAAACUAGAACCGCAACUGGUUCCCAAAAGCAAAAGUAGUGUUUCCUUGUUAGAAGAUACAAAGCCAAAGACUCAUACGGACUUCGGCUACACCAUGAAAAUUUUGAGAAGCAAU
rnacentral:sRNA from 1 species